AUUGAACGCUGGCGGCAGGCCUAACACAUGCAAGUCGAGCGGAUGAAGGGAGCUUGCUCCUGGAUUCAGCGGCGGACGGGUGAGUAAUGCCUAGGAAUCUGCCUGGUAGUGGGGGAUAACGUCCGGAAACGGGCGCUAAUACCGCAUACGUCCUGAGGGAGAAAGUGGGGGAUCUUCGGACCUCACGCUAUCAGAUGAGCCUAGGUCGGAUUAGCUAGUUGGUGGGGUAAAGGCCUACCAAGGCGACGAUCCGUAACUGGUCUGAGAGGAUGAUCAGUCACAUUGGAACUGGGACACGGUCCAGAAUCCUACAGGAGGCAGCAGUGGGGAAUAUUGGACAAUGGGCGAAAGUCUGAUCCAGCCAUGCCGCGUGUGUGAAGAAGGUUUUCGGAUUGUAAAGCACUUUAAGUUGGGAGGAAGGGCAGUAAGUUAAUACCUUGCUGCUUUGACGUUACCAACAGAAUAAGCACCGGCUAACUUCGUG
rnacentral:rRNA from 1 species